rnacentral:rRNA from 1 species
CCCUUAGAUGUUCUGGGCAGCACGCGCGCUACAAUGGUCUUCGCAAACGGAUGCAUUCUCGAAGGAGAAUGCCAAUCUUGGAAUCUAUGCCUUGGUCGGGACAGUUGCUUGCAAUUUUUCGACUCGAACCAGGAAUUCCUUGUAAUCGUGAUUCAUCACAUCACGAUGAAUACGUCCCUGCCCUUUGUACACACCGCCGGUCGCUCCUACCGAUCGAAGAGUUAGGUGAAUUGUUUUGAUCGAUAAGAUUUGACUAUGGUCAACUCUCGUUGUGAAAUUCUGUGAAUCUGACUGUUUAGAGGAAGGAAAAGUCGUAACA